GUUGUGGUGCUUGUCCUCAGUGUCAUUACAUUAUUGGUGGCAGCAGUAGAGGGGACUGGAAUCGUCAGUGUUCUUUCAGUAUGCUGCCUUGCAAUGUCUUGUUCAAGGACCAGUGAAUUUGCUUGUGCCAAUGGCCUUUGUUUGCUCCUGGGCCCCCUCUGGGCUGUUCUCCACUGAUGGCAAAAGCAGCAGCCAGAGUGUCCCACAGCCAUGACAAAUGCCCUUCCAGACCAGAACCUGAGAGCAGGUUUGGGAAGAGCACUGUAUGGUGUUGGCUAAUCUGUUGUCAUAAAAGUGUUCUCUGACUGAGAUUUGGCUCUGAACCCAUUCUGGGCAUGCAGAGGCCAUCCUGAGCUUUAGAGGGCACCUGUUUGUUCGUACUUUCUGCCACACAAGGAGGAUGUAUUUUGCUCCAGUUUACUGGGGCAUGUCCUUGGAAGCUUUUUCAAGUUCUGCAUCUUCUCCAGGAAAGAAGCAUGCAAAUGUAGCUAAAAGUUCCUCUCUAAGUAAGUGUUCAUAGUUCUCUGUCAGUCUUUUCUUGUUACCUGCUGUUGGCAUACCUUGUGGCCUGGACAAGUUUUCUGCCUUAGAGGCACAUCUUUCUUCAGUACUUUUACUUCUGUUAGUUGCCUUUUGGUUUUGGAGCUGUGUAGCAGAGACCAUUUCAGUGACUUGUAGCAGUGUCAGGAGCAGAGAAAUGGGCCAAUGAGUUUCUUAUUUUCAGUACAGGAGAGCUGGGUUUGAAACUUACAAGCCAGCCUUUAUAUUGUCAGAAUCACUGUUCGCUUUCUUACCCACUUAGGGAACCAGGAACUCAUGGUUUGAAAUUUUCAGGACAGGUUUCAGUCCAAGAGUUGUGUUUACAUGUCCUUUCCAGUCAGAUGUUACAAGGUAGCGAAACGAAACCACCAAUUUAGUUUAAUUAGUGUGGAAAACCAAAACUUAGAUGAAAAAAGGCCAUUUCUGUAAGAAGUAGAGUCAGUCAGUAGAAAUGUGUAAGUACCUGAUUUAAUCAUUAGUGUGAUGCUGCUCUGUGCAUGUGUGUGCUGCUGACUCCACUGGAAUGCUGGCGAGUGCACAGGUUAACAGGUGUGAAGUCUGUCCCAAGUGUGUUCCCUUGCAGUAUGUAAUGGAGGCCACUGCUCUGCUAGUGCUCUUCUGCAUUGCACAUGGCAAGCGUGGCUGGAUGGCUGAGAAAUCCUACAGCAGUUGGGUUUAAAUGAGGCCAUGGGAAACCUCUGCAGGCUUGAAAUAAGAGACAUACUCCAGCCUGGCUCUAAGUGGGACAUCAGGCUGCUUCAUAAUGCUGGAUGGAGAAAAUCAACUACUUGGUAACUAACUUGUGUUAUCUUUGCUGUAGCUGUAGGAAUCUUUUGAAGCCAGCAAAAGUUUGGACUGGGCUGUUGGCCAUUACUCUAGAACUGCUCCAUUUCAAGACGUGAUCAUUCAGAAACACCAGAAGCUGUGGAUGGUGGACCUGCAAAAUGGGAAUGGCACUUCCUAUCUUGGCAAAGAGGUGUAAAGAUAAAUUUGUGUGUGAGGAGUGACACCCAGGUUACUGAAGACUGAGCUGAGCCAAGAACCACCCUGUCAAUGCUCCAUCUUUGUCCCACAAAAACUGGCUAUGAGUGCCAAUGCUGCUGCUCUUUGCUUUUUUCAUGAUGAACUCCGGUGCCUGUUCUGUUCAGUUGGGCCAACAUCAGUAACAGUACACUCACCAUCUCAGAUUUGAUGUCAGACCAGAAGAAACACUGCUCAUGAGCACAGUUACUACAGGAGUUUCUAGAUAGUUCUCCUCUGGGCUUUGUCAGAGAUUUGCUGAGACACUAAAGAGUUGGUUUCAGUGUAAAUGAUUCUCUGUUGCCUUAAGGAUGAGAACUAAAACAAGGCAGAGGCUUUAAUCCCAAAGCACAGCUGCUCAGCAGUAGCUGAUGGUCCUGCUCUCCCACCAUAAAAGAUACUUUAGCUUUAAGACAGGUGGCUUGCAACCCUUCAUUUAUUUUAGUGCUUGGAAAGCAGCAUGAUCUUGUAUCAAUGCCUAAAACUGAUAGGCUAAAUUUUCAAUAACUCUACUUGAAAGGUAAUGUAAAAAUCACAGCAGGCACAGACAGGAGAAUUAAUUUUGGGGUUUUAUUAUAAAAGUAAAAUAAAAAUAAGCAUUUAAAAAGCACGAUUUUUCAAAAGGAACAGAUACAAAAAAACUAUUUACAAGUAGGAAAAUGCCAAACUUGAAAAAAUUUUUGGAUAAGAGGCACCAAAGUUAAGUUUAAAUACAUUAUUUGAAAUAUACAAGAUUCUUUUCGGGUUCUCUUUUUUCUCUGAGUUGUCACUGUUGUGAUUAAAGUCAUGAUUUUUCUUUGCCAGCUACUUUAUGAGCUGGUUUCAUGCAACUGUGCUGCAACAAUUAUGAAGAGAGCAGCUAGAAACUGUAUCCUCCGAUUGUUCUAUGUGCUUAACCUCUUUAGUAAGUAAGUUUGUAUUACGCAUUACAAAUUUCUUUUUCAUCUGUAAAAGAAAAUCCUCCCAGACCAGGAAAACAGUCAGUCUUUCAUAGCGUCCAGUCCUGUGUAUUAAUGCAGCAGUGGAGCCCUGCUUAUUGUAAAUGGCUUGUAAAUGAAUACAAUUGAAGGAAGCAAUGGCUAGAAGUCACGUGCUGCAGUUGCCAUUGGUUCAGGUGGGAUUCUUCCAGUGCACUUUUGGUUGUGAGUUCACUUCCCUCUGGCCAGGAUGACGCUGAUGUAAUUUGAAAUGUGCCAUUUGUUCCUGCAACUGCAUAUUGCUAAUUGAACAUCACUACUCAGCUAUAUAAUUGCUAUGCCCUGAACUGUCAUGUCCAUAGCCCAGGGCCAUUUUGCCAAGUGUUAGUGAGGACUUGCUGUUCAGAGAGUCUGAAUAAGUGAAACUCAGCUUGCGGAAGGAGGUCUCCACACCGCUGUCACAUGUGCUUUCAGGGUCUUGAAAUCUGCUAUUACAGAGCUCACCUGAGGGACAGAGAAAAGGGAAACAUUAUCAUUUGUGUGGCUUGAGCAAGGUUGCUUUAAGAAAAGCCUAAGGAAUACAAACCAACAGGAUUAAAGCUCUUCUAUAGGAAAAUAACAUGAGGUAUUAUAAUAGGAAAAGCUGUGCUGAAUGUUUCCAGGCCACCAAAGCAUGUGAUCUGAUGUACUGCUGGCAGAGAUCAACUUGCAGCUGGAGCUUGAUGGGAUGAGAAGCCUGGUGCUCUGCUGACGCUAAUGGUGUCACUGCACUCUGGUCAGGACUCUUGUCUGGCUAUGGCAGUUGCAGGGCAGAAGGUUCUCAGAGUCACACUGUGCAAGUGUACAGCUCCAGGAUGAGGCUCCUAAAACUUUUAAUUCAUGUUAUGUCAACUUAGAGAUUUCUUUUUGAGACAAAUACUUGAAGAGUUGCAUGCAGUAAGUGACCCCAAAAUAGGAACAAGUCAGCAGCAUCUUUCACCUGUGAAGGAUCCACAGAAGGAGUGCCUGACUGGAAGAGGUCAGUAUCCGAGCUGAAGGUAUGCUGUGGGAUCAGUGUGACUAAAGCAGUGGUGGCAUCUUAGAGGUAAGUCUUGUUUAUCUAAACAAACAUCUUAAAAUAAACAAUGUGAUGCCCUCCAUUCAUGUUGCAAAGGAGCAGAACACCUCUUACCCUUCACAAUGAAUCUAAAGGGGCAAUAUGUGUACAAGCACACUUCUGGGUGGGUGUGAAGGUUUAUUCCAUGACUGACCAGUUUUCUAUAGAGAAUAAACUGGCAAUGUUAGACCAGAAUGGAGUGACUGGGACGUUUCUUUUUUCUUUCCAGAAAUAACUACAGUAUUUUUUUACAGGGUGUAAGGAUCCACAUUAGGGUACAAGCAGCACUACUGGUGUUUGAACAGGAAAAAACAAAGGUUUUUUUUACUAAACCUGGCCAGGCAAUGACUGAACAUCCCUGAUGACAAACUUCUCACAAUCUCUCUUUUUCUCUUAGUAGAGUUCCCUGCCCAAAAACACUGUAGGACCUCCAUCUGAGGAUGCUCAGAACUCAACUGGAUGUAACAUGGGAAACCUCAUGUAAUGUUCCACUGGCCCUACUCUGAGCAGGUAGUUGGCCAGCAGGACUGCUUGAGUCCUGUGUAACCUAAGCCAUCCCCAAUUUCUCUGCCUACAGAACACUGUGGAAGGAGAAAUUUAAUACCAAAGUCUUACGGAGAAGUUUAGGAGCCCAAAACAUUUUUCAUUAUCCAGUAAUGAGGGGCGAAAAAAAGUCAAAAGCUAAUGGCACUUGUACAUGCCUAGGAGGUAAUUGCCUACAUUCCCAGUACAUCACCAUUAGCAAAUGGCAGGUGUCUGGUUUUAGCAGAAGGCAGCAGUAUAAUGAAUACCAUGAUGCAGGUAUGCUGAUUCAAGUGGUCCAUUUUCCCUCUCUCUUCUAGGCCUAGCAGCUGUCUGUGAUGAGAGGGGUCAUGCUGCCAUAAAAUAUUUCUGAAACCAGUAAGCAGGUGAAGCAGUGUGUGCAAGAAGGUGAGCGAUGAUGAUGAGGGAAGAGCUUUUGCUGUACUGUCCUCCAGGGGAGAAAGUCUGCGUGAGCUGGAUAGUGCUUCCUGAAUUACUUCUAUGGCUUCUGUGUGAUCCAUCUGUCUCAAAGCAGUGAUGAGCUCCUGAACUGUACCACCAGAAACCUGCAAGAGCAGACAUCAGAUGCUCAGCAUCAUCCAGGCUGGCUAAAACUGCAGGGCUGCACUGUCUCACCGUGCAGGAGGACAAGGUUCUCUGCAUGUCUGAAUGUUCUUUGUAACUUGUUAUAGCACAUUACCUCAUAGUUAUCCAGCAGAGUUUUCGAUGGGGAAGGACUCAACCUGAAGGCAUUAUUAAGUAUGCCAAGACCCAGUUUUUGUGCUAGGGUGGACCAGUUUUUGGUCGGAUCAGGCAAUUCCAAUAGCUUGUAAAGCUGCAUCUUGGAACUCUCACUCAGCUCUCUCAAAUGUCCUGGGGAACAGAGAAAUAUAUUAAUUUAUUAUUUAUACAAAUCAUGCACCAAUUCAUUUUAAAGCAGAAACAAAGCCAAACUGAAGACUGUUUCAGAGUCCAAUCCCAGCAUUUACAAAUGUCUUGCUGCAAUACUGAAAAUGUACUCCAUGUCCUUGAGACCUCUUAAGGGAAUCAUGCUCAUUCUGUGAGUGAGGGGGUGGGAGGGCACCUCUUCUCUCUCACGAGCUCAGUUACAAGCCAUUGCAGGACAAUGUCUUCUCACCACUACAGUUUCAGUACUCAAUUACUAGAGGGAUAUUGUCAAUUCUUUAUAGGUGUUACCUUGUGUCAGUAAGUCCUCCAAAACCUCUGCUGACUCGUAGGGUUUGCCAUUCAAUAUGUCAUACACCUAAGAGAAUACGUUAAAGUCAGUAUUUAGCAGAAACCUGGUUAGUGUCCUUUAAGUCUCAGCAGUGUGGUAUAAAGCCCUAAUUCCAUCUGUAAAUCAGCAUUUUUUUCCUCUCCCAGGUUCAGUAUGACUCAGGAUACUGUAGAAAACCUGUGCUAAACUUUAGCGAAAAAUCUUGAGAAGUUAAUCUCCCUUUACCUUAAGCUGUGUCACCUGGCAACUAUUUUCAAGACACAGAGGAAGCCUUGGCAGUAAAUAAAUGGCAGAAGCAGUGGCUAAGCAAGGAGUUGCUGCCUGUCUGCAACUAGUCAUUUAAAAUGAAGCCUGGGUUAGAUUUUCACCUAAGGCUGGUACCACUCCCCAGCUCCAGAUGAUUAGAGAUGCUGACUGCUUGUCCUUUACACUCACACCAAACCAAAUGCACAGUAAUCAGCUUAAUCACUGUUGGGGGAGAACACAGGAGUGCAUCUUCCCAUCACACACAGGCUGCAAUUCUGAAGAACACUCAGCAAAGAAACCCACUGGAGAGUGAGCCUUCAAACACAAGCUGCCCACCCAGCUAAAUACUUUCCCACACUGAAGACUGUACUGCAACUACUUGAAGAACUGCUUGGUCAUUUCUGUUCAGCAGCAUUACUCUGUAGCUUUCUUCCAGUGCUGUUUCAUCAGAGGAGUUUUAUGGCUGAAUUAGCCUAAUUUUUGAUGGCAAAUUAGUUGAAUUAAUUGAAAUAAUUGUGGAUGCAGUGAAAGGAGCUGGCUGAGAGAGCUGAGCUGUCCUUUAUAAUUAGAAAAAAACCAACAAAAAACUGAAAGAAAAAACAGACCACAUACCUCACAAUUGGCUGCCAUAUCCAGUGGUGUUGUUCCAGGCACAAUCCCUUCAUCAUCUUGAUCAUCUUUCACAUCAUCUAGAUCAAACAAUGGCUCAAAGUUCUCAAUGUGAGGAUUUGCACCUGAAGAACAAGUGGGGGGUGGGGGGGGGAAAUCAAAGAAAGGGCUUCAAGUUGCUUCUCAACGAUAUUUAAAAUAGGCAUUCUAUGUACUGAAUGGCAAAUCAGCUAAUUUAGCUAUUCCAGCUAAAUGAUAUUUGAUACUAAGCUAGCAAGUAGCACUGUUUAUCAAUUACAUUUAAAUGCUGUCACAUCUCUGUAUAAUGCUACUCUCCAUUAUAAAAAGGGGGGGAAAAUGACAAGCAGAGCAUUAGGGUGCAAAGAAAGAGCUCUGGUUGUAUCAACUGACUUCCAGUCCCAUCCUGCCUCACACAGCACAGCACGAAUGUGAUGAGGUGAUGGUGUGGUGCUGCUUUUUAGUGUCAGAGAAAGUGGGGGUGUUUUUAAAAGACCAAGCAGACAGCCUCAGCAAUGGGAGGCUUGGGCUUCCAUUUCAAAUGAGAAAAAUCAGGUUUAAAUACAAUUGACAAAGUUCCAACAAAUACUCCAACCUAAUUCUUCCACAGUGACAGCAAAUAGGAGACACUUACAAGCUCAUGCUUCAGUGAUGGGGUGUUUUUUUGGCUUUUUUGUUUCUAAAGCAGUCCAACACUUAUCCCAGAUAUAUAUAAAAGUCUCUUCUCCACUUCUUCAGCUAUAAAAGCUACAAAAGAAUCAAAGAACUUCCCAAAGUCCUCCAGAGAUUUUUUUGGACCAACAUAAUUUGCCUUUCUAGCCAUUAGAUGGUGCUGAAGAGUGAUUAGUAUAGCAUCUCAGAGCAGGACUUUCUGAGGAAAUUCAGACCUUCGUGCUUUUAACAUCUGACUUCCUCCAUCCAUUAAACAAGUUCACUGGCA